UACGAAGGGGGCUAGCGUUGUUCGGAAUUACUGGGCGUAAAGGGCGCGUAGGCGGCUGUGCAAGUCAGAUGUGAAAGCCCUGGGCCCAACCCAGGAUGUGCAUUUGAUACUGCACGGCUAGAGUGUCGGAGAGGAUGGUGGAAUUCCCAGUGUAGAGGUGAAAUUCGUAGAUAUUGGGAAGAACACCGGUGGCGAAGGCGACCAUCUGGACGACAACUGACGCUGAGGCGCGAAAGCGUGGGGAGCAAACAGG
rnacentral:rRNA from 1 species